UCACUCUGGUUUCUCUUCAGAUCGUGUAAAUCUUUUGCCUUUUACUAAAGAUUUCCAUGGAAAGGCGCGUUUAGGAGUUUCUAUCCAAUUUUUUGAGGCUUCACUUCAGUGAGGCU
rnacentral:snRNA from 1 species